rnacentral:lncRNA from 10 species
AUUUUCUAGAGAGUGCUCUCCAAGAAGCAUCAGUUAUUGCAACUUCUUAAAAAAAAAAAAAGCAACACUGUGGAUGCUUUUGUGGUGUAAUAAUCGUCCGCAACCUCAGGUCCUUUUACUUAUUGCUGAAAAGCCUCUGAACUCCUUUCUCCCUCUCUCCACUCCUGAGCCAAGAAAUAAUUCUUUCCGGACUUCCCGAGAAGCUCCAGGUUAUCCGGAGUCAACGGGGAUUAGACACACUGAUUGGCUAAGCCUGAGUCAUGUGCUAACUCCAGAAGCUACAAAUUGGAUGAGAUCCAGAAGAAUCACAUGAACUGAGAGGAGGGGAAGAGAGUUUCUUCAAAGGAACCAUAGGUGAAAUGAAUGACAGGAGGAGGAGGAGCCGGUAACAUACAUUUGUUACUUGGAAAAUGGGAAGUAUUUUUCUUUUCUCAUCUGACAAGAGCAAAUGCCAUUCAUUUUCUGCCAUCAUGGCAAGGAAAAUGCAUUUAAAAGACACAAAGCCACCUCACCACCUUGUGCAGAUACCAAGAAAAGGCCUAGUGAAAACAUAAGAAGAAGAUGGCUCUAUGCAAACCAGGAAGAGGACUCUCACCCAAAACUGAAUCUGCCAGCACUUGGAACUUUGACUUCUCAGCCUCCAGAACUGUGAGAAA